rnacentral:rRNA from 1 species
AGUGAACGCUGGCGGCGUGCCUAAUACAUGCAAGUCGAACGAAGUGGCGCACGGGUGAGUAAUAUAUAUUUAAUCUGCCCUACACAGAGUCACAACAGUUGGAAACGCCUGCUCAUACCUCAUAGUGUAUGUUGAGCCUAUAUCGUAUCAGCUAGUUUGUAAGGGAAUGGCUUACCAAGGCUAUGACGCGUAACUGGUCUGAGAGGAUGAUCAGUCACAUGGGAACUGAGACACGGUCCAAACUCCUACGGGAGGCAGCAGUAAGGAAUAUUGCGCAAUGGGGGAAACCCUGACGCAGCAACGCCGCGUGGAGGAUGACACUUUUCUGAGCGUAAACUCCUUUUAUCAGGAAAGCGGUACCUGAUGAAUAAGCACCGGCUAACUCCGUGCCAGCAGCCGCGGUAAUUC